rnacentral:rRNA from 1 species
GAGUAGGUUAAUAAGGGCGUAUGGUGGAUGCCUAGGCACAAAAAGGCGAUGAAGGGCGUGGCGUGACUGCGAUAAGCGUCGGGGAGCCGUCUAGCGGGCUUUGAUCCGGCGAUUUCCGAAUGGGGUAACCCAUGGCGAGUAAUGUCGUCAUAUUCUUAUCCGUAAGAGAUAAGAAAGCAAACCCGGGGAAGUAAAACAUUUCAGUACCCGGAGGAACAGAAAACAAGUUAUCACUUUAUUAUUUGUGAAUUCGUAUGGUCGAGUUCAUGAAUAAUAUCGUGAUUAUAUUCCCUUAGUAGCGGCGAGCGAAAAGGGAGGAGUCUAAACCAGCUUGAUAUAUCGAUAUUUCGAUAUGUCGAGUUGGGGUUGAAAGAAGCGGUCGUUUCCGUAGCAAUAUGGAAGAGAAGUAUACAAACUGAAAAAUUGGUUAGCCGAGUGGUUUUGGAAAAGCCAACCAAAGAGGGUAAUAGUCCCGUAGGCGAAAACCUUUUUCAUACUUCUUGAUUGUUAUCUUAAGUACCGCGGGGAAAGAUUGCCCCGUGGGAAGCAGGGAGUCCUACACUCCCAAGACUAAAUACUUUUUGUGACCGAUAGUGAACUAGUACCGUGAGGGAAAGGUGAAAAGUAGCCCGAUGAGGGCGAUGAAAUAGAUCCUGAAACCAUACGCUUACAAAGAGCGGGAGCCCGCAAGGGUGACCGUGUGCCUAUUGAAGAAUGAGCCAACGACUUUAUGCGUUUUGCUUGUCUAAGCCCCUUUGGGGUGGAGGCAUAGGGAAACCAAGUGUUAAAAGCGCGAUUCUCCCCGCUUAUAGCGGGGAGAGGCAGAACGUAUAAGACCCGAAGCCAGGUGAGCUUACCAUGGCCAGGUUGAACCCCGCCGAAAGGCGGGGGGAGGACCGCACCCACUAGCCGUGCAAUACUAGGGGAUGAGCUGUGGUACGAAGUGAAAAGCUAAUCGAACCUGGGAAUAGCUGGUUCUCUCCGAAAUAGUUUUAGGACUAGCCCUGAAUUAGUUUGCCGGAGGUAGAGCACUGGUUGGUUUUGAUUGUCGCAAGACAGCUGAACCAGUCAAACUCCGAAUUCCGGUAAAAGAUGUUCAGGAGUCAGACUGUGGGGGCAAAGCUCCAUGGUCAAAAGAGCAAGAACUCAGACCAUCAUCUAAGGUCCCUAAAUCUUGGCUAAGUGUAGAAGGAAGUGAUGCGUCGAAGACAGAUAGGAGGUUGGCUUAGAGGUAGCCAUCCUUUAAAGAGUGUGUAACAACCCACUAUCAUAUUCCCGUAAGGGGAUUGACGCAUCGCACCAAAGAUAUAACGGGACUAAGCCAGGUACCGAAGAUAUGGGCUUGAUUUUGUUUUUACAAAAUCAAGCGGUAGGAGAGCGUUCUUAGCGCAGCGAAGAUUGACCCGCGAGGGCGAUUGGAGUGCUAAGAAGUGCAAAUGUUGGCAUGAGUAACUAUUAAGACCGAUGAAAAAUCGGUCCGCCGAAAGCCUGAGGUUUCCUUGGCAAUGAAAAUCAGCCAAGGGUUAGGCGGUCCUAAGGCAAUGGAGAAAUCCGCAGCCGAUGGACAGACGGUUAAUAUUCCGUCCCUAUCUUAAAUAUUUUUAAGGAGUGACGAAGUUCAGUAUGCUAAGCGCCUUAUUGGAUUGGCGUUAUUGGUGUAAAGGUUUCUGAUUGGUAAAUCCGUCAGAAUGCAUUUAAUUGCAAACCUAAGCUCAAAUAAAAUUUUUAACUUCGGUUAAAAAAAUCUAGCAAAGCGGACUUCCAAGAAAAACUUCGUAGAUUAGUUUAGGAUAUCCGUACCAAAAACCGACACAGGUAGGCAGGGCGAGUAGCCCACGGCGAACGAGUGAUUCGUGGUUAAGGAACUCGGCAAAAAAGCGGCCGUAACUUAGGUAUAUGGCCUGCCCCGCUUAGCGGGGCCGCAGCGAAAGAUUCCCUGGCGACUGUUUAUCAAAAACACAGCUCCCUGCUAACUCGCAAGAGGAUGUAUAGGGGGUGACGCCUGUCCGGUGCUGGAACGUUAACGGUGGAUGUUCAUGUUUACGCAAGUAGGUGUGAGCUAUCGCCCGAAGCGCCAGUGAACGACAGCGAUAACUAUAAUCGUUCUAAGGUUUGCCGCGUCUGCUAUCGCAGGUUCGGCAAAGGACUAGGACGAUUAUAGGAAGUGUAGGUGCUGCCUCGUUAUGCAGUAAUGCAUAAUUGGUUCUAAAAAAAGUACAUGGCUAUAUGCUGGAAAUCCGUUUUACGGACAAUCAGCAGGAAAGAGUCGCCUUAGGCGACAAUCCUCAGAGACCACACGCCAUGCUCCCGCAUACAGCGGGAUGAAGAUAUGGUCCUUCGCAUAGUCAAGGAAGCGAAAAGCGAAAUUCCUUGUCUGGUAAGUUCAGACGCGCACGAAUGGCGUAAUGACUGGGGAACUGUCUCAACGAAUUGCUCGGUGAAAUUACAAUAACGGUGAAGAUGCCGUUUUCCUGCAACUAGACGAAAAGACCCCGGGAGCUUU